rnacentral:lncRNA from 1 species
GAGCAGUCAGUGACUAAUGAGGGGUGAGCGGCGUUGGACAGCGGUGGCGGUGACUAGUGAGUGGUGAGAGGCUGUAACACCCCCUACCUAUAUUCGUCGCCGGAAUAGGGUACGAGGCAUUACCGAAGUUUUCUGAAUGAAUUUUUCUGUCAUUACGAGUUAAAUACUAUUCUUUUAUUGAAACAUAUUAUGACGUCCCUUAGAUGGGUCUCCGAAGCCCAAAACAUACACCGAUAUCAAACCAAAUCAACCAAUUCAAUUCAAC